AGGUUCGAUCAUGAAGCUCAGAUUGAACGCUGGCGGGAUGCUUUACACAUGCAAGUCGAACGGCAGCACGGACUUCGGUCUGGUGGCGAGUGGCGAACGGGUGAGCAACGUAUGUAUCGGAACGUGCAUAGUAGCGGGGGAUAACUACGCGAAAGCGUAGCUAAUACCGCAUACGCCCUUCGGGGGAAAGCAGGAGGACCUUCGGGCCUCGCACUAUUAGAGCGGCCGAUAUCGGAUUAGCUAGUUGGUGGGGUAACGGCUCACAAGGCGACGAUCCGUAGCUGGUUUGAAGAGGACGACCAACCACACUGGGACUGAGACACGGCCCAGACUCCUACGGGAGGCAGCAGUGGGGAAUUUUGGACAAUGGGGGAAACCUGAUCCAGCCAUCCCGCGCAAUGCGAUGAAGGCGCUGGUUCGUAAGCACUUUUGGCAGGAAAGAAACGGCACGGGAUAAUACCCCGUGCAACUGACAGUACCUGCAGAAUAGAAAGCACCGGCUAACUACGUGCCAGCAGCCGCGGUAAUACGUAGAGGGUGCAAGCGUUAAUCGGAAUUACUGGGCGUAAAGCGUGCGCAGGCGGUUCGGAAAGAAGAUGUGAAAUCCCGAGCUUAACUUUGGAACUGCAUUUUUAACUACCGAGCUAGAGUGUGUCAGAGGAGGUGGAAUUCCGCGUGUAGCAGUGAAAUGCGUAGAUAUGCGGAGGAACACCGAUGGCGAAAGCCAGCCUCCUGGGAUAACACUGACGCUCAUGCACAGCGUGGGGAGCAAACAGGAUUAGAUACCUGGUAGUCCACGCCUAAACGAUGUCAACUAGCUGUUGGGGCCUUCGGGCCUUGGUGGCCGCCCUUCGACGUGGAAGGUCGACGCCUGCGGAGUGCCGUCGCGGAGAUCAAGACUCAAAGGAUGGUGGGGAUUACCAAGCGGUGGAUGGAUUAUUAAAGUUGGAGGCAGCGAAAAGCGCUACACCUACCGCGCCAGGCGUGUCAGGUCGAAGGUGCGGACAUUCCUGAAAGGAAACGGGAUUUACAGGUGCUGCAUGGCUGUCGUCAGCUCGUGUCGUGAGAUGUUGGGUUAAGUCCCGCAACAGGCGCAACCCUUAACUCAUUAGUUGCUACGAAAGGGCACUCUGGCCAGGCUGCCGGUGACAAACCGGAGGAAGGUGGGGAUGACGUCAAGUCCUCAUGGCCCCUUAUGGUAGAGGGCUUCACACGUCAUACAAUGGUGCCGGGACGGUCGCCAACCCCGCGAGGAGCCAAUCCAAAUGAUCGUAGUCCGGAUCGCAGUCUGCAACUCUGACUGCUGAAGUCGGAAUCGCUAGUAAUCGCGGAUCAGCAUGUCGCGGUGAACCGUUCCCGGGUCUUGUACACACCACCCGUCACACCAUGGGAGUGGGUUUACCAAGUAGUUAGCCUAACCGUAAGGAGGGCGAUUACCACGGUAGGAUUCAUGACUGGGGUGAAGUCGUAACGAGGUAG
rnacentral:rRNA from 1 species